GAUGAACGCUGGCGGCGUGCUUAACACAUGCAAGUCGAACGGUGAACGAGGGAGCUUGCUCCCUCCGGAUCCGUGGCGAACGGGUGAGUAACACGUGAGCAAUCUGCCCUGGACUCUGGGAUAAGCGUUGGAAACGACGUCUAAUACCGGAUACGAGGCGUGGGGGCAUCCCCAACGCCUGGAAAGAACUUCGGUCCAGGAGGAGCUCGCGGCCUAUCAGGUAGUUGGUGAGGUAACGGCUCACCAAGCCCACCACGCGUACCCGGCCUGCGAGGGUGACCGGCCACACUGGGACUGAGACACGGCCCAGACUCCUACGGGAGGCAGCAUUGGGGAAUAUUGCACAAUGGGCGCAAGCCUGAUGCAGCAACGCCGCGUGAGGGACGACGGCCUUCGGGUUGUAAACCUCUUUUAGCAGGGAAGAAGCGAAAGUGACGGUACCUGCAGAAAAAGCACCGGCUAACUACGUGCCAGCCGCCGCAGUAAGAC
rnacentral:rRNA from 1 species